UCCAGGAGUGGCUCUUCAUACAUUGGUAGU
rnacentral:piRNA from 1 species